rnacentral:snoRNA from 1 species
GGUCGGUGAUGAGCGCGGCAUGUAUUACCUGAGCCCCGUGAUGCCCAACUCGGCUCUAGAAUUACUCUGAGACCCG